rnacentral:rRNA from 1 species
AACGAACGCUGUCGGCAUGCCUAACACAUGCAAGUCGAACGAGACCUUCGGGUCUAGUGGCGCACGGGUGCGUAACGCGUGGGAAUCUGCCCUUGGGUUCGGAAUAACAGUUAGAAAUGACUGCUAAUACCGGAUGAUGACGUAAGUCCAAAGAUUUAUCGCACAAGGAUGAGCCCGCGUAGGAUUAGCUUGUUGGUGAGGUAAAAGUUCACCAAGGCGACGAUCCUUAGCUGGUCUGAGAGGAUAAUCAGCCACACUGGGACUGAGACACGGCCCAGACUCCUACGGGAGGGAGCAGUGGAGAAUAUUGGACAAUGGGCGAAAGCCUGAUCCAGCAAUGCCGCGUGAGUGAUGAAGGCCUUAGGGUUGUAAAGCUCUUUUACCCGGGAUGAUAAUGACAGUACCGGGAGAAUAAGCCCCGGCUAACUCCGUGCCAGCCGCCGCGGUAACAC